CAGCGCCACGAGUGGGAGCCACGUUUAUUGGGCCUAAAGCGUCCGUAGCCGGUCAUAUAAAUCUCUUGUGAAAUCGUUCAGCUUAACUGAACGGCGAGCAGGAGACACUGUAUGACUAGGGACCGGGAGGAGUCAGAGGUAUUCUGGGGGGAGCGGUAAAAUGCUAUAAUCCUUAGAAGACCACCUGUGGCGAAGGCGUCUGACCAGAACGGGUCCGACGGUGAGGGACGAAAGCUAGGGGAGCAAUCCGGAUUAGAUACCCGAGUAGUCC
rnacentral:rRNA from 1 species